GAAGGCUAUGUUGGCCGGGCGACGGUUGUCCCGGUUUAAGCGUGUAGGCUGGUUUUCCAGGCAAAUCCGGAAAAUCAAGGCUGAGGCGUGAUGACGAGGCACUACGGUGCUGAAGCAACAAAUGCCAUGCUUCCAGGAAAAGCCUCUAAGCAUCAGGUAACAUCAAAUCGUACCCCAAACCGACACAGGUGGUCAGGUAGAGAAUACCAAGGCGCUUGAGAGAACUCGGGUGAAGGAACUAGGCAAAAUGGUGCCGUAACUUCGGGAGAAGGCACGCUGAUAUGUAGGUGAAGCGACUUGCUCGUGGAGCUGAAAUCAGUCGAAGAUACCAGCUGGCUGCAACUGUUUAUUAAAAACACAGCACUGUGCAAACACGAAAGUGGACGUAUACGGUGUGACGCCUGCCCGGUGCCGGAAGGUUAAUUGAUGGGGUCAGCGCAAGCGAAGCUCUUGAUCGAAGCCCCGGUAAACGGCGGCCGUAACUAUAACGGUCCUAAGGUAGCGAAAUUCCUUGUCGGGUAAGUUCCGACCUGCACGAAUGGCGUAAUGAUGGCCAGGCUGUCUCCACCCGAGACUCAGUGAAAUUGAACUCGCUGUGAAGAUGCAGUGUACCCGCGGCAAGACGGAAAGACCCCGUGAACCUUUACUAUAGCUUGACACUGAACAUUGAGCCUUGAUGUGUAGGAUAGGUGGGAGGCUUUGAAGUGUGGACGCCAGUCUGCAUGGAGCCGACCUUGAAAUACCACCCUUUAAUGUUUGAUGUUCUAACGUUGACCCGUAAUCCGGGUUGCGGACAGUGUCUGGUGGGUAGUUUGACUGGGGCGGUCUCCUCCUAAAGAGUAACGGAGGAGCACGAAGGUUGGCUAAUCCUGGUCGGACAUCAGGAGGUUAGUGCAAUGGCAUAAGCCAGCUUGACUGCGAGCGUGACGGCGCGAGCAGGUGCGAAAGCAGGUCAUAGUGAUCCGGUGGUUCUGAAUGGAAGGGCCAUCGCUCAACGGAUAAAAGGUACUCCGGGGAUAACAGGCUGAUACCGCCCAAGAGUUCAUAUCGACGGCGGUGUUUGGCACCUCGAUGUCGGCUCAUCACAUCCUGGGGCUGAAGUAGGUCCCAAGGGUAUGGCUGUUCGCCAUUUAAAGUGGUACGCGAGCUGGGUUUAGAACGUCGUGAGACAGUUCGGUCCCUAUCUGCCGUGGGCGCUGGAGAACUGAGGGGGGCUGCUCCUAGUACGAGAGGACCGGAGUGGACGCAUCACUGGUGUUCGGGUUGUCAUGCCAAUGGCACUGCCCGGUAGCUAAAUGCGGAAGAGAUAAGUGCUGAAAGCAUCUAAGCACGAAACUUGCCCCGAGAUGAGUUCUCCCUGACUCCUUGAGAGUCCUGAAGGAACGUUGAAGACGACGACGUUGAU
rnacentral:rRNA from 1 species